AGAUUAUGAUUUUUCUGUAAAGGAGGAAGAUUCUGAUUACCAAGAAAACAUUGAUAUUCCCCAAUUCUGCGAUGAGCCCAUUCGUAAUUAUGCUAAUUAUGAAAUAUGGUUUUAUUGCAAUGAUUAAAAUAAAAUUAGAUAUGAGAGCAAGAGACAUAAAACAUGCAUAUGGAAACUAUGAGGUUAAUAUAAAUCAGCAAAACCAUUACCAAGAAAAUACUGAUUCUUUAUUUUAUGAUCUCAUAGAUAUUGAGGAUAUUCCAAUUAAGAAGGAACAUGAAAACGAUGAUAAUGUUACGAAAGAAAUUGAAGACGAUAAUAAUAUUGUAGAUGAACAAAACAAUUAUAAAAAAACUACGGAUGUUAUCAUUUCUUGUGGAAAUAAAGUAGAUAUACUGUGCAAUGAUAAUUUAUUGUUUAAUACUACGAAUAAAUGCACAUAUAGUAAGAAUAAAGACGAUAAUCAAGGAAUUGCUAAUAUACAAGUAAAAAAAAUAAUAUCUAAUAUACCUAACAAUCUUGAGUUAAAAAAUGUGAGAAUCUGUCUUAAGAGAUUAAAUUCUACUGUUAUUAAUGGUGACAAAGAAAACAUUGAGGACUCCGAAUAUUUAUCUUCGAGAAAUGAGCGAGGUUUAUCAGAUGAACCAUUUCCAAAAAAGCACAAAGUAAAUGUAACUACCACUAGAUCAUUCACUUCAGUUUUUAAUAAGUUGCAAACAAAUUCGUCUGGAUGUAAUGAUGAAAAUAUGUAUGUUGACAAGUCGAAUACUAAAUCUAAACAAAACUGCUGCAUUUUUUGCAUGAAAUCACAAUCAAAACUUGCGCGGCAUUUAGAAAGCAUGCAUAGGGAUGAACCAGAAGUAAAGAAAUUUACUAUUUUACCCAAAAGAAGUCUAGAAAGAAAGAAAAUAAUAGAGACUAUGAGAAAAAAUGGUAAUUUCAAAUAUAAUACAAAUGCAGCAGUUAAUAAAGGGGAACUUAUUGUAUGCAGACGUCCUAAUGAAAAAUCCAAUAAAACCGCUACGGAUUUUAUUGCUUGUAUGAAAUGCAAAGGAUUUUUUGCCAAAAGUUCAAUACGUCAUCAUGCUCGAGAAUGUUUUAAGCGAAAUUUUAAAACGUCUAAAGGAAUCAUGAUUAUGGGAAGAAAAAUUACCUGCAGGAUACACAAAUUAGCGAAUGAUACAUUAAGAAACAUAGUUUUCCCUGUAUUACGAGAAGACGAAGUAACACGAGCAAUAAGAUAUGAUGAAUUAAUAAUCUUAUAUGCAAAUAAAUUAUGUGCUAAGUACAAGCCGCAACAUCAACACAAUAUAAUACGUGCCAAAUUGCGACUUCUUGGUCGUUUACUCUUGACAUUAAGAAAGAUAAAUAACGACAUAGAUGACUUUAAGUCGCUCUAUUAUCCCAAAUUCUAUGAUAAUUGUGUGUCUGCUAUAAAUAUUGUUGCAAGAUAUAACGAUAAUGAAAAAAUAUAUGAAACUCCAGCAGUAGCGAUUAACUUGUCAAUUUAUAUAAAAGACGUAGGAAAUCUCUUAAUUACAGAAUGUAUAAAACAAGAAGACACAGAAAGGAAAAAAUUAAUUGAAGAUUUUUUAAAAUUAUUAACUGUUGAUGGAAGGACAAGCAUAAAUACAAUUAUUGCAGAAACGCAAUUAAUUCAUAAAAGACACACAAAGAUACAACUCCCAUCAUUGGAAGAUAUUAAGACUUUAUAUAAACAUUUGAAGAAAAAGAGAGUCGAAGCUUAUAUUGCAUUAAAACAGUCUUUCUCCUUUAAUAAUUGGCUUUCUUUAGCAGAAGCAACAUUAAUUACAGUGCAUAUAAUUAAUAAACGGCAGGUAAAUGAAAUUGAGCGAAUACUUAUCAAAGAUUUUCGAAAUUAUAAAAAGCUAGAUAAAAAUAUGUACAGUAAUAUCUAUAAAUCAUUAUCAACGCAAAAUAGAAAAAUAGCAGAAAGAUACAUUCGAUUUUAUAUUAGAGGAAAAUUAGAGCGUAGAGUACCUAUUUUAUUGUCACAUGAUCUUUGUGAGUGUAUUAAUUUAAUAUUAAAAUUUCGAGAAAAAGCGAAAAUAUCAAAGAAAAAUCCGUAUAUCUUCGGAUUGCCUGACAUCGAGAAAUGCAGGUAUAAGUAUCUUAGAAUCUGUGCCUUAAUGCGAAAAUUCGCAAUAAAGUGUAAUGCAGUUCAUCCUAAUACUUUACGUAGUACAACAUUAACGAAAAAUAUGUCCACAUAUUGUAUCCAAUUGAAUGUAAGUGAAAUUGAUGCGUCUGAUCUUAAUAUUGUCAUGGGUCACGUGCAUAAAAUGGAUACAAAACAUAAACAAUUACUGUCUAUAAAAGAUGUAUUAAAGAUUUCACAAUAUUUGGAAGCAGUUCAGGAAAAUGAUGAAAAUUAUAAGAAAUUUGUAUCUUCAUCAAGUAAUGAAUCCGAAGAAAAUGAAUUUGUAUCUUCAUCAAGUAGUGAAUCCGAAGAAAAUGAAUUAGAAAUGAGAAAUAUCAAUGAUAUCAAUAUAAAAUGGAGAAGAAAGAUUUAAAUAAUAAACCUGACACAUUAUAAGGACAGGUAACAUAUGAAAAUAAAAAAAAAACAAACGGAAACGUUCUACAUCUUAUCAUCUUGGGAAGACAAAAAGAAUACGAUGAAGUGAAAAAGAUAAAAAAGCGAAACAUUUGAAAA
rnacentral:misc_RNA from 1 species